GAUGAACGCUAGCGGCAGGCCUAAUACAUGCAAGCUGAACGGUAAAUGUUGUAGCAAUACGAUAUGAGAGUAGCGUAAGGGUGCGUAACACGUAUGCAAUCUGCCCGCAACAGGAGGAUAGCUCCCCGAAAGGGGAAUUAAUACUCCAUAAGAUCACGAAAGGGCAUCUGAUUGUGAUUAAACUCCAAGGGGUUGCGGAUGAGCAUGCGUCUGAUUAGCUAGCUGGUGAGGUAACGGCUCACCAAGGCGAUGAUCAGUAGGGGAACUGAGAGGUUGAUCCCCCACACUGGCACUGAGAUACGGGCCAGACUCCUACGGGAGGCAGCAGUAGGGAAUAUUGGUCAAUGGGUGAGAGCCUGAACCAGCCAUGCCGCGUGCAGGAAGACGGCCUUCUGGGUUGUAAACUGCUUUUGUCAGGGGAUAAAAUACCCGUGCGCGGGGAAUUGAAGGUACCUGAUGAAUAAGCCACGGCUAACUACGUGCCAGCAGCCGCAGUAACAC
rnacentral:rRNA from 1 species